rnacentral:rRNA from 1 species
CCUACGGGUGGCAGCAGUGAGGAAUAUUGGUCAAUGGACGAGAGUCUGAACCAGCCAAGUAGCGUGAAGGAUGACUGCCCUAUGGGUUGUAAACUUCUUUUAUAUGGGAAUAAAACGUUCCACGUGUGGGAUUUUGUAUGUACCAUAUGAAUACGGAUCGGCUAACUCCGUGCCAGCAGCCGCGGUAAUACGGAGGAUCCGAGCGUUAUCCGGAUUUAUUGGGUUUAAAGGGUGCGUAGGUGGAUUGUUAAGUCAGUUGUGAAAGUUUGCGGCUCAACCGUAAAAUUGCAGUUGAAACUGGCAGUCUUGAGUACAGUAGAGGUGGGCGGAAUUCGUGGUGUAGCGGUGAAAUGCUUAGAUAUCACGAAGAACUCCGAUUGCGAAGGCAGUUCACUGGACUGCAACUGACACUGAGGCUCGAAAGUGUGGGUAUCAAACAGGAUUAGAUACCCCUGUAGUC